UACGGAGGAGGCAAGCGUUAUCCGGAAUUAUUGGGCGUAAAGCGUCCGUAGGUGGCUCUUCAAGUCUGCUGUCAAAGAGUGGGGCUUAACCCUGCAAAGGCAGUGGAAACUGAAAGGCUAGAGAGCCGUAGGGGUAGAGGGAAUUCCCGGUGUAGCGGUGAAAUGCGUAGAGAUCGGGAAGAACAUCGGUGGCGAAAGCGCUCUACUGGACGGUAUCUGACACUGGGGGACGAAAGCUAGGGGAGCGAAUGGG
rnacentral:rRNA from 1 species